ensembl:lncRNA
UUAGCAUAAUAGUAUAGAAACAAGGAAACUUUUCGAAGCUGUCAAUCAAGAACCAAUCAGCUGACUGUCAGCUGGGACCAGAACUUUUUAACUCCUUCGUGACCGAAAGUGUUGCCUCGGAUUCACUCGGUACCAGCUCUUCUCAGCUCUCUCGCUUUCUCUCUCUCUCGCUCUCCCACUCAGAAAAGGCACACAGGCAGAACCCUAUUUAUUUAAACCAGGGAAAUGUGGCUCAUAAUUCAGACAACCCGCGGGAUUGGGAUGUUCGAUAGUGUGCAAUUUCGGGUGGGUGCUAGCGAUGUGCAAGUCAGCAAAAUCCGAGCUUUCUGGAGUUCUCUGAGUGGGUCCGCAAGCUCAUUCCAAUCUGCGUCUAUAUCAAAAUAUCUAGAAACAGGACAGAAACGUGGAACGAACACAUGGAAAAGGGGCAUGAAUCCAUCUACUUCUGUCCAACUUUUCAUCCUCGCAACAGCCUUGUGGUUGAGAGAAAGAUCUCCUGGCCCAGGGGCACGCAGGAUGUUCCAGUGCUGAGCAGAGAUUUGUUUCAAUCCAGAUUUCUCCAGACUUCACCUAGCAUCCUAACCAGUAUGACAUACUGGUACUUUUCUUGAAAAUCCUGACAUCACACAUUGAGAUUCCAGUAACAAAAUAGCA